UCCUGAGAGGGAGAUCCCCCACACUGGUACUGAGACACGGACCAACUCCUACGGGAGGCAGCAGUGAGGAAUAUUGGUCAAUGGAGGCAACUCUGAACCAGCCAUGCCGCGUGCAGGAUGACGGUCCUAUGGAUUGUAAACUGCUUUUGUACAGGAAGAAACCUCGCUACGAGUAGCGAUUUGACGGUACUGUAAGAAUAAGGAUCGGCUAACUCCGUGCCAGCAGCCGCGGUAAUACGGAGGAUCCGAGCGUUAUCCGGAAUUAUUGGGUUUAAAGGGUUCGUAGGCGGUUGGAUAAGUCAGUGGUGAAAUUUCUUAGCUUAACUAAGACCCGGCCAUUGAUACUGUUUGACUUGAAUAGUAUGGAAGUAACUAGAAUAUGUAGUGUAGCGGUGAAAUGCUUAGAUAUUACAUGGAAUACCAAUUGCGAAGGCAGGGUUACUACGUACUUAUUGACGCUGAUGAACGAAAGCGUGGGGAGCGAACAGGAUUAGAUACCCUGGUAGUCCACGCCGUAAACGAUGGAACUAGCUGUUCGGUUUUCGGACUGAGUGGCUAAGCGAAAGUGAUAAGUAUCCCACCUGGGGAGUACGUUCGCAAGAAUGAAACUCAAAGGAAUUGACGGGGGCCCGCACAAGCGGUGGAGCAUGUGGUUUAAUUCGAUGAUACGCGAGGAACUUACCAGGGCUUAAAUGUAGAUUGACAGGUUUGGAAACAGACUUUUCUUCGGACAAUUUACAAGGUGCUGCAUGGUUGUCGUCAGCUCGUGCCGUGAGGUGUCAGGUUAAGUCCAUAACGAGCGCAACCCCUAUUGUUAGUUACCAUCGAGUAAUGUCGGGAACUCUAGCAAGACUGCCGGUGCAAACCGUGAGGAAGGUGGGGAUGACGUCAAAUCAUCACGGCCCUUACGUCCUGGGCUACACACGUGCUACAAUGGUCAGUACAGAAAGCAGCUACCUGGCGACAGGAUGCGAAUCUCAAAAGCUGAUCACAGUUCGGAUUGGAGUCUGCAACUCGACUCCAUGAAGCUGGAAUCGCUAGUAAUCGGAUAUCAGCCAUGAUCCGGUGAAUACGUUCCCGGGCCUUGUACACACCGCCCGUCAAGCCAUGGAAGCUGGGGGUACCUGAAGUCGGUGACCGCAAGGAGCUGCCUAGGGUAAAACUAGUAACUAGGGCUAAGUCGUAACAAGGUAACCA
rnacentral:rRNA from 1 species